rnacentral:rRNA from 1 species
UACGGAAGGCAGCAGUGGGGAAUAUUGCACAAUGGGCGAAAGCCUGAUGCAGCUAUGCCGCGUGUAUGAAGAAGGCCUUAGGGUUGUAAAGUACUUUCAUCGGGGAGGAAAAACAAAACUAAUAAUUUUAUUUCUUGACGUUACCCGAAAAAGAAGCACCGGCUAACUCCGUGCCAGCAGCCGCGGUAAUACGGAGGGUGCUAGCGUUAAUCAGAAUUACUGAGCGUAAAGAGCACGUAGGUGGUUUUUUUAAGUCAGAUGUGAAAUCCCUGGGCUUAACCUGGAACUGCAUUUUGAAACUGAAAUACUAGAGUAUCGUAGAGGGAGGUAGAAUUCUAGGUGUAGCGGUGAAAUGCGUAGAUAUCUGGAGGAAUACCUGUGGCGAAAGCGGCCUCCUAAACGAAUACUGACACUGAGGUGCGAAAGCGUGGGGAGCAAACAGGGAUUAGAUACC